CGAGAGCGUUACUUCUUAGUCUGGCGUCACUUCCUGCUCGCGCGGUGAAAGUUCAGGUGUCAAUUAAAGGUGGUCUCACGCGCAAUCUACAACGGUCGAUUAGAAAACAAAUUGUAAAACUGUCGUAAAACUUGUCGAAAACUAAAAGAAAGUAAGAUCAAUAGAAAAAGGCACAAAGAAAAACAUAAAAUGACGAUGUUUUCUUCACUAUCAGUGUCGACUUGAGGGCAUGCUAAACAGAAACAUGACACCAUUAAACAGCUCCUGCUACUUGGACUCACUAGUAUCUGCUGAGCGUCCGGUCAUUGUUCCCAGGAAUCAUUCUUCCCUCAGUGUCUCUUAGCUGUUGUUCUGGUAUUCCGUGGAUAAAAGAGGCGAGUUGAAUGAGGAGAGGAUGGCGAGACCCUGUGGAGAGAGGAGAGGAAGACGCUGCCCUCCGUGGGAUUCAAAAUGCUCUGACAGACUGAGAGAGGACUAUUAAGUGGUGUGUUAUUUACACAUCAUAAGCCAGUCUAUUAUAUUGACAUCCAGACGACCCAGUCCACCACUGUUCUGUGUGUGCUGCGGCCUCGCUCUCUGUUUGCUCUCAACACCAGCAUGCUGAUUGGAUGAUUUUCUGAUAUGACAUUCCAAUGCUCUGGACUAUGUGCAAGAUCUUUUCGUCUGAAAUAGUCCGAAAGCAUUCAUUACCCGUCGAGAAAUGAGACAAAAGGUCAAGAAAGCGGUGUGAAGGGGUGGAGCCAUGUGAAGUGGAGGUGGGGUUUACAAUCCAAUUGGGGAUUAAGUUAUCUCUUAUAUCUCUUACUUACAAUAAAUCCACACGUCUCCAUCAGAAAUGUCUUGUUUAAACUGUAGAGGAGCAUGAAGCAAAUGUUUGACUUUAUUUAAAAUUCAUUGUUCAGUAUUACAUUGCCAGCUGGGGUGAGCCCUGAGAUUGCGAAGGUGAGCAGACAGGCUGUAUAUUUUUUAUUCUGAUCCAGAAAUUGCAGAAUUGCUACCCAGUUGUUGUCCUCCACACCAUUCUGCCAUUUACCAAUGGCAUCAAAAUAUUUGACAUCCUAUAAUGGGAUUGCAUCCAGAGUAAUUCCUGUAACUACUGUUGACAUAGGUGCCCCAAGUAAAAUAAAUCUAUUUUGGCCAUUGAUGUGAAUGAACUCUCUGUGAACCAUUUAAAGCAUUAAUGCAGAUAAAGGAGAAUACAUUCCCCUUACCCAGAUCAUUAGAAUGUGACUACCGCAGAGUUAUUACUGUAGGCUCCGCAGCGAAUACUUCUAAA
ensembl:lncRNA